UACAGAGGCCCCAAGCAUUACCCGGAAUCACUGGGCGUAAAGGGUGUGUAGGUGGUCAUAUUAGUCGAGUGUUAAAUCUCAGGGCUUAACCCUGAAAUCGCACUCGAAACGGUACGACUGGAGAGCGUAAGGGGUGAAUGGAACUCAUGGUGUAGGGGUGAAAUCCGUUGAUAUCAUGGGGAACACCGAAAGCGAAAGCAAUUCACUGGUACGUUUCUGACACUGAAACACGAAAGCGUGGGUAGCGAAUGGG
rnacentral:rRNA from 1 species